rnacentral:snRNA from 1 species
GGAUAUGAGGGCAAUCUGGCUGCGACAUCUGUCACCCCAUUGAUCUCCAGGGUUGAUUCAGCUGAUCUGGCUGGCUAGGCAGGUGUCCCCUUUCUCCUUCACUGCUCCAUCUGCAUCCCUCCUGAAGCUGCGUCCUCCAUCCAAAAGGAUGACCUGACAAGGGAGGACCAGUCUUUGGUCAAAGGUAUACAAGUAACUGUGCCCCCCUGCUAGAACCUCCAAACAAGCUCUCAAAUCACUGGUGCUCUGUAUUCAAACACCAACUGUCCCGGUCCUGGGCCGGCUGUCUUCUAAG